rnacentral:lncRNA from 1 species
GUGAUUAGAUUGUAUGUUAAGUGUACCCUUCUCCUAAUCUGGAUUUAGGGGAUUUACUCGCUGAGAUGUGAUCUCACCCCUUAGUGGGCUAACAUUUUUCAGGUCCCUAAAUAGAGGAAGGCCAAGUCGUGUACAGUCGAUCGCAGUAAAGGAGGAAUAUGACUCUCGCUAUCUCCUCCCAAGUGAUGACGGGUUUUCCGUCAAGACUGGAUGUAGGGUGACGACUCACCCCAGAGAUAUCGAUAAGUAUGGUAGUGUAGCAGUAAACCCCAGUCUUGUUGAUAGAAACUUAGUUAAUGGGUAAUCGAACAGCUUCACUUUUUGUAUCAGACUUUGAGGUGUUAAACUGGUCUAUAAGUAAUGUGAUGUUGUAGGUGUGGCUUGUGAAAAGUAAUAUCCUACGUUUCUAUCCCGCUGUUUUGUUGUAUGGAGAUUGUUUUACGUUUCCGCAUGUGCAAAAUAAUGAAUGGGUCGG